UGGUGGCGAGUGGCGAACGGGUGAGUAAUAUAUCGGAACGUGCCCAGUCGUGGGGGAUAACGUAGCGAAAGUUACGCUAAUACCGCAUACGAUCUAAGGAUGAAAGCGGGGGAUCGCAAGACCUCGCGCGAUUGGAGCGGCCGAUAUCGGAUUAGCUAGUUGGUGGGGUAAAGGCCUACCAAGGCGACGAUCUUUAGCUGGUCUGAGAGGAUGAUCAGCCACACUGGAACUGAGACACGGUCCAGACUCC
rnacentral:rRNA from 1 species